AGAAGACGCUAGGUGGGCUGCGCGCUCUGCCAGGCGAAGGCUGGAGCGCAGACGGCAAAGCCGCGCGUUUCAGCCGUGGUCGGGUCCGCAGGACCUGGGCGUGGGGACACCACCAGGCAGGAGCAGAGGCAGGACUGGGACGCCAAAAGCUGAGAAUCCUCGAUGCCCGCGCGAGAGCCCCGUGUUAUGGCGAGGUGGGACAACCCUUAGGCUGGAGAUGCGCGAGGGAGGGAGGUCUGAGCGCUCCGAAGCUCCGGAGGCGGCUGCAGCUGGAUACACCUCACUGGGAUGCGCUUGUGGCAGAGCCUUAGUAGGGAAGGUGGUGGCGUUCUUGUCCUUGCAGCUCAGAGUUCAGUGUCUGGAGAGCGCAGAGAGAAAGAGCCCCAAGUCUCGAGGAAGCGUACCCCUCGCCAGAUCUCUUGGUGCACCUGCGCCCCUGUCCCUGGCCUUUUCGAGGAUGCCCCGAUAGCCUGCCGGGUGGCUCUGAGAAAGUCAAUUGCUUUCUGCAAUGCCAGAAGAGGUGGUUUUAUAUAGUCAGUUUGUAAAAGAGAAAAAUAGAUAUUCUAGCGCAUAUAGGGAGGCAAAAGAAAAAGCCCGCCUGUGAAGCUGUCAAGGUCCUCACAGUACAAUUUUCUCUCUGCCUCAGCGCCUCCUCCUCCCCUUUCUGGAGGCUGGGAAGUUCAAGACCAAUGCACGAGAAUUUGGUCUAAAGAGAAUCUUCUUGCUCUGAACACACAUAGUAGAAGGCAGAAGGGCAAGAGAGAGAACAAAGUCUGUGUCUCCACAUGGCAGAAGAGCAGAGGAGACAGAACCUACUCCUCUAUGGCAACCACCCCAUCAAUGACAAAAAUCCUAGAAGGAUGUAUGUAUAGGAAGUUGAAGUGUUGAGAAGAGAAUGGCUCAGAGUCAAGCGGGAACAAGAUUCAAACUUCAGAGAGAGAGGGAAGAAAAACAUUUAAAUAUAUCUGGCAUAAUCCAAGACUAUUUACGACAAGUGUUCUGUGUUUCUAAUAAUAAAACAGACUUCACCUCGGAGUACCUGCAGAACUGGGACCCCAAUGACCAGGGAGAAUGAAGAACAACUUGUUGAAGUUCUAUAUCUGGAUAAAGUGCGAAGGAGCUUAAAUCUGUUGAAACCCAAAAUUUGCCUCCGUUUAAUGGCUUAGGUGAGUCUGUCAUUAUAUAGAUGGAGCAUAUGUUACUCUCUUCAGUGUUUUCUUCACUGCCAAUCCUGUUUCAAAUUGUAUGAGUGAUCGAAAUUGAGCCCGCUGACAUUCUAAUCAAGAGAAAAGAAGUAUAUAUGGUGCCCAAUUACCUGAAUCAAAUUGAUUUACUCAUUUAUUCUUCCUUAUGUUUCAAAAAUAAAGAUGUCAUUAAUCCAGAUUUUAAAUAUCAGAAUGUAUUAUAUAACAUUUCAGUAGUAAACCAACAAAUAUCUGAGACAGGUCUCUACCAAGUUAGAGGUUUAUUUUGCCAAGGUUAAGGACCAUGGCCUGUGACACAGCCUCGGGAGGUCCUGAGAACAUGUGCCCAAGAUGAUACAGCCUCGGGAGGUUCUAAGAACAUGUGCCCAAGAUGGCUGGGAUACAGUUUGAUUUUAUACAUUUUAUGGAGACAGAAAUUACAGGCAAAACAUAAUACAUGUAAAGCAUAUAUUCAUUUGGCCCAGAAAGGUGGAACAUCUUGAAGCGGUGGCUUCCAGGUCAUAGAUGGAUUCAGAUUUCUGAUUGGCAGUUGGUUGAAGGAGUUAAGCUCUGUCUGAAGAGUUGAAGUCAGCUUGAGUUAAGGUAAGACUGGAAGAGAGUUGUGGAAGCCAAGGUUCUUAUCAUGUGAAGGAAGCCUCCAGGUAGCAGGCUUCAGAUAGAAUAGAGGGUGAAUGUCUCUUAUCUGACCUUAGAAGAUGUCAGACUCUUAUUGAAAUCUUUUAUGGAUCAGGAAAAGACCUGCAAAGGGAAGGGGAUUCUCUACAGAGUAUAAAAUUUCCCCACAAAAGAUGGCUUUGCAGGGCCAUUUCAAAAUAUGUCAGUGAAAUACACUUUGUUGUAAAAUACUUUGAUUUCCUUUAGGGCCUGUUAUCCAUCAAGAGUCGGGUUGGACUUGGCAUCUUAUUAAUACAACGAAUCUCUUCUGUCAGUCUUAGGAUCUCUCUUUUAAUGUUAAUAUUGUUCAGUUUUGUUGAAACUCCAAAAGAGAAAGGAUAUGAGGCAUGUUCAACACCACCUGUCUCAUUGUGGCCUGAAUUAAUUUUUCAGGUUUCUUAAGAAUCUCCUAGGCUGAGAGAUGGGUCCACUCAAUAAGAUGGAAGGGGGUAUAAUUUUAAUUUAGAUUCAUAAAUAAAAAGAAAAAUUAUUUUUCUACAUUCCUUUUUCUCUAAUAAUAUUUUUAUUUUGUUUUACCAUUUGAAAUUCUAUGGUCAAAAAUUUCGUAAACUAAAAUUUCUCCUGAGAUUCAUUUUAGAAGAAUUUUCUAGGCAAGUGUUUUUAGUCUCUAUCAAGAAUUUGUAGCUGUUUUUAUUAUUUAAGAAAACAAGCAAAUGAAAAUAUGUGAUCUUUAAGGGCCAAUAUAAUAUUUUAUUCUAUCAAUAGGCUUAUGCAGAACUGAUUUUGGUAAAGAUUACAGCAGGGUAUAGUUUUAGAAUUUCUGUCUCAAAUGCAAGUUGGAAUAACAUUCUAUAAUUUGCUUUUAACACACACACUUAAUGAAUGUAAAUAUGAAUCUCAACUAAUAAAAGAAUGAAAAGAACAUAUUUUUCUUAGAUGCUUUUCUUCAGAAACAUGAAAAACCCUCACACUAGUUUUUGGUCUGAAUUAGAGAUAGUCUAUUUAAUGUUGAUGCCACUGUGUGAACAUUUUAGAAUAAUUUAAUAUUAAUUGUUUUGCAGUUUCUUCUGUCUAAUGGUAACUGGAAUUUCCCUUUCUAAUUGUGUAUUGAAGAACGAGAACGACUCAUGUUUAAGUGUUAGAUGUAAGUCAUUUCAUAAUUACUCGUGCACUUCAAAAACAACAAAAAUAAAAUCAAAAUCAUAGAUUAUAUGGAAAGCUCAAUUCAAAAUUUGUAAAAUGUAGCAUUUUGUUGCAUUUUAUAGGAAAACAUAGGAUUGUAAUAACAUUAAAUUAUGUAUAUAUUUUUACUCUUCAUUAAAUGAAAUUUAGAGACAUCGUCAAUCAUUAAGUUGCAUUUAGUGAGGUGUUAACAGAAAUUAAUUCAUUGUAAACAUAAUAAUAAAAUGAAUGGAGCAGAAUUACC
rnacentral:antisense_RNA from 1 species